UACAGAGGUCCCGAGCGUUGUUCGGAUUUAUUGGGCGUAAAGGGUGCGUAGGUGGCAAAGUAAGUUGGAUGUGAAAUCCUGGGGCUCAACCUCAGAAUUGCAUUCAAUACUGCUUAGCUAGAGAGCUGUAGAGGAGACUGGAAUUUACGGUGUAGCAGUGAAAUGCGUAGAUAUCGGAAAGAACACCAACGGCGAAAGCACUCUGCUGGGCCGACACUGACACUGAGAGACGAAAGCUAGGGGAGCAAAUGGG
rnacentral:rRNA from 1 species